UACGUAGGGUGCGAGCGUUGUCCGGAAUUAUUGGGCGUAAAGAGCUCGUAGGCGGUGUGUCACGUCGGCCGUGAAAACCUGCAGCUUAACUGUGGGCGUGCGGUCGAUACGGGCAUCACUGGAGUUCGGCAGGGGAGACUGGAAUUCCUGGUGUAGCGGUGAAAUGCGCAGAUAUCAGGAGGAACACCAGUGGCGAAGGCGGUGCUCUGGGCCGGAACUGACGCUGAUGAGCGAAAGCGUGGGGAGCAAACAGG
rnacentral:rRNA from 1 species